ACGGAACUUUUCGGAGUUCAGUGGCGGACGGGUGAGUAACGCGUGAGAAUCUGGCCUCAGGUUCGGGACAACCACUGGAAACGGUGGCUAAUACCGGAUGUGCCUUAGGGUGAAAGAUUAAUUGCCUGAGGAUGAGCUCGCGUCUGAUUAGCUAGUUGGUAGGGUAAGAGCCUACCAAGGCAUCGAUCAGUAACUGGUCUGAGAGGAUGACCAGUCACACUGGGACUGAGACACGGCCCAGACUCCUACGGGAGGCAGCAGUGGGGAAUUUUCCGCAAUGGGCGAAAGCCUGACGGAGCAAUACCGCGUGAGGGAGGAAGGCUCUUGGGUCGUAAACCUCUUUUCUCAGGGAAGAAGACAAUGACGGUACCUGAGGAAUCAGCAUCGGCUAACUCCGUGCCAGCAGCCGCGGUAAUACGGAGGAUGCAAGCGUUAUCCGGAAUUAUUGGGCGUAAAGCGUCCGCAGGUGGCAAUUCAAGUCUGCUGUCAAAGCCCGGGGCUUAACCCUGGAAAGGCAGUGGAAACUGAACAGCUAGAGUGCGGUGGGGGCAGAGGGAAUUCCCAGUGUAGCGGUGAAAUGCGUAGAGAUUGGGAAGAACACCGGUGGCGAAAGCGCUCUGCUAGGCCGCAACUGACACUCAUGGACGAAAGCUAGGGGAGCGAAUGGGAUUAGAUACCCCAGUAGUCCUAGCCGUA
rnacentral:rRNA from 1 species